rnacentral:rRNA from 1 species
AUACGGAGGAUGCAAGCGUUAUCCGGAUUUAUUGGGUUUAAAGGGUGCGUAGGCGGUUUGCUAAGCGGGAGGUGAAAUGCCGGCGCUCAACGUCGGAAGUGCCUCCCGAACUGGUGGACUUGAAUGACUCUGCCGUGGGAGGAAUGUGUAGUGUAGCGGUGAAAUGCUUAGAGAUUACACAGAACACCGAUUGCGAAGGCAUCUCACGAAGGGUUGAUUGACGCUGAGGCACGAAAGCGUGGGGAUCAAACAGGAUUAGAUACCCUGGUAGUCCACGCAGUAAACGAUGAUGGCUAACCGCUGGGCUUAUGAGUUCAGUGGCCAAGCGAAAGCGAUAAGCCAUCCACCUGGGGAGUACGACCGCAAGGUUGAAACUUAAAUGAAUUGGCGGG